AUCUCUGUAGAGUCUGCAUAUCAAUAAGCGGAGGAAAAGAAACUAACUAGGAUUCCCUCAGUAACGGCGAGUGAAGCGGGAAGAGCUCAAAUUUGAAAUCUUCAAGGUUCUACCUUGACGAAUUGUUAGUUUAAAGAAGUGUUUUCUGUUGAAGUUUUGGUAAAAGUUCUUUGGAAUAGGACAUCAUAGAGGGUGAGAAUCCCGUAUUUGACCAGUUAUUUUCCAGCUGUGUGAUACACUUUCAAAGAGUCGGAUUGUUUGGGAAUGCAGUCCAAAAUGGGUGGUAAAUUUCAUCUAAAGCUAAAUACUGGCGAGAGACCGAUAGCGAACAAGUACCGUGAGGGAAAGAUGAAAGGAACUUUGAAAAGAGAGUUAAACAGUACGUGAAAUUGUCAAAAGGGAAGCGUUUGACACCAGUGUUGUUUUCUCGAAAAUCAAUUAAAAAAUGGCAUGAUUUUGUGUUGUAUUGACCUUUAAUCAAGCUUUCUUCACUCUUUUCAUUGUCUUUUUUAAUGCACUUUUCGUUUAACAAGUCAACAUCAGUUUCUUUUGUUGUAAAAGGGUCAUUGGAAGGUGGCUUUCUUUUCGGAGAAAGUGUUUAUAGCCUUUGCCUCUGCAAUCGGAGAGACUUGAGGUCUGCAGCGUAGAUCCUUCUGGAUUAGAUACAUUUGUGCUAAGUUAUAACCGUUUCAUAGACAACUUGUUGACUAUGAUUCAGAUCAUGUAGCUUACUCGCUUAUGCUAUUUUACCUACGCUUAGGAUGUUGAAGAUGUAGCACAUCAU
rnacentral:rRNA from 1 species